CACUGAGCCCAUGCAGCCGGGUCCAGCCCACAUUCCUCAGCUGGCUUUGGUGUAGUGAGCAUGCUCGAUGCUCAACCGGAAGCUAAGCCCUGCACCAGGAGCCUUAGCUGCCAUCUGUGCCUGCAGACUCCGGCUCUAGUCAACUAGGCCACGGCAACUGGAAGCAAAAGUCCUGGCAAGUCCUUCAAAGAAGCAGAAUAACCAUUGGUGGCUGGCUCUGGUUCCCUAAGGAGAGUCAUGCCUUGGGAAGCCCCCCCCCCCCCCCCCCCCCCCCCCCCCCCCCGCACUACAGAAGAAGAAAAGCCACUGGGAUGGCUCAGCAGGGAAAAAGAAAAGGAGCCUGCCUCGAAGCGAAGCGUGACAAGCAAAGUAUGGUCCCCAGUACCCAUAUG
rnacentral:lncRNA from 1 species